rnacentral:rRNA from 1 species
AGUAGUUUCGAUCCGUGGCUACAGGACGAACGCUGGCGGCGUGCUUAACACAUGCAAGUCGAACGGAAAGGCCCUGCUUUUGUGGGGUGCUCGAGUGGCGAACGGGUGAGUAACACGUGAGUAACCUGCCCUUGACUUUGGGAUAACUUCAGGAAACUGGGGGCUAAUACCGGAUAGGAGCUCCUGCUGCAUGGUGGGGGUUGGAAAGUUUCGGCGGUUGGGGAUGGACUCGCGGCUUAUCAGCUUGUUGGUGGGGUAGUGGCUUACCAAGGCUUUGACGGGUAGCCGGCCUGAGAGGGUGACCGGCCACAUUGGGACUGAGACACGGCCCAGACUCCUACGGGAGGCAGCAGUGGGGAAUAUUGCACAAUGGGCGGAAGCCUGAUGCAGCAACGCCGCGUGCGGGAUGACGGCCUUCGGGUUGUAAACCGCUUUCGCCUGUGACGAAGCGUGAGUGACGGUAAUGGGUAAAGAAGCACCGGCUAACUACGUG